rnacentral:rRNA from 2 species
AGGUCCUGCCUGCCCAGUGACUAUGUUAAACGGCCGCGGUAUUUUGACCGUGCAAAGGUAGCGCAAUCACUUGUCUUUUAAAUGAAGACCUGUAUGAAUGGUGGAACGAGGGCCUAACUGUCUCCCUUUUCAAGUCAAUGAAAUUGAUCUAUCCGUGCAGAAGCGGGUAUGCGAAUACAAGACGAGAAGACCCUUUGGAGCUUAAGAUUAAAAAUCAACUAUGUCAAAUAUCCACCGGAUAAAACUAAAUAGCAACUGAUCAUAAUCUUCGGUUGGGGCGACCACGGAAUAAAGACAAACUUCCACAUGGACUGAGGACUAACCUUAAACCCAAGAAAGACAUUUCUAAGUCACAGAAUUUCUGACCACACAGAUCCGGCAAAUCGCCGAUCAAUGGACCAAGUUACCCUAGGGAUAACAGCGCAAUCCCCUUUUAGAGUUCCUAUCGACAAGGGGGUUUACGACCUCGAUGUUGGAUCAGGAC